rnacentral:rRNA from 1 species
CCUACGGGUGGCUGCAGUGGGGAAUAUUGCACAAUGGGGGAAACCCUGAUGCAGCGACGCCGCGUGAGUGAAGAAGUAAUUCGUUAUGUAAAGCUCUAUCAGCAGGGAAGAAAAUGACGGUACCUGAGUAAGAAGCCCCGGCUAACUACGUGCCAGCAGCCGCGGUAAUACGUAGGGGGCAAGCGUUAUCCGGAUUUACUGGGUGUAAUGGGAGCGUAGGCGGGAGGGCAAGUCUGAAGUGAAAGGCGGGGGCUCAACCCCGGGACUGCUGUGGAAACUGUACGGCUGGAGUGCAGGAGAGGUAGGUGGAAUUCCUAGUGUAGCGGUGAAAUGCGUAGAUAUUAGGAGGAACACCAGUGGCGAAGGCAGCUUACUAAACUGCCACUGACGUUGAUGCUCGAAAGUGUGGGGAUCAAACAGGAUUAGAUACCCCAGUAGUC